rnacentral:rRNA from 1 species
UGGGGAAUAUUGGACAAUGGGCGCAAGCCUGAUCCAGCCAUGCCGCGUGAGUGACGAAGGUCUUCGGAUUGUAAAGCUCUUUUUGGCGGGGACGAUAAUGACGGUACCCGCAGAAUAAGCCCCGGCUAACUUCGUGCCAGCAGCCGCGGUAAUACGAAGGGGGCUAGCGUUGUUCGGAAUUACUGGGCGUAAAGCGCACGUAGGCGGAUUGUUAAGUCAGAGGUGAAAUCCCGGAGCUCAACUUCGGAACUGCCUUUGAUACUGGCAAUCUAGAGUCCGGAAGAGGUUAGUGGAAUUCCCAGUGUAGAGGUGAAAUUCGUAGAUAUUGGGAAGAACACCAGUGGCGAAGGCGGCUAACUGGUCCGGUACUGACGCUGAGGUGCGAAAGCGUGGGAGCAAACAGGAUUAGAUACCCUCGUAGUCCCUGAGCGGGCUGG